AUGUCCCACGCGUACACCGCGGUUCGCGUGCGCCGCCUGCGCGUACCUGACGACUGGUCGCUACGCCUUGCUAGCC
rnacentral:sRNA from 8 species